UUGAUUCAUUCUGUCUUCUGAUUGGCUGAAAACUGUAUACUACAUUUUUUAUCUUUUUACAACCCCCCAUUUACAGAUGGCCGCGGAGAGAGCAGUAAAGACAGAAGCUGAAGAGGACGAUAUAGAAGCAGGAGGGUCAUUACGUAUGGAAUAAGUGAAUCUGACGAUGAGAAAAAAAGCUGCUGAAGUUUUUGGUUUAAAGCUAAUGGUACUGGUAGUUUUGCUUUUGGUAUUUGAGACGGACUUUGGGAACUAAAACUUUCUUUGAAAACCCCUCUAAACAGGUUUAAAGCUAAUGGUACUGGUAGUUUUGCUUUUGGUAUUUGAGACGGACUUUGGGAACUAAAACUUUCUUUGAAAACCCCUCUAAACAGGAGGUGAUCUACAAUAAUGAAAGAUGAUCUAUUUCUGGCCAGAAAUUUGCGGAGUUCAAUCGUCUUGAUAUCAGUCUUGGCUGCAGUUGUAUCUCUAAAAAUCAGUGACGGUUUGAGGAGACACUGCAUCUCACUGCUCAGUGGAGACACGGGGAUAUGAAGCAGUUUUCCCUCUCAAAGUCCACUGAACGUUGUCACAGUCCGAUCAGAGUAAGCAGCAAAGAUAAAAAGAGACUUUACCUCUGAUGUCAGACAGAUAAAUUUUGACGAAAACAGACCUCGGAGGGUUUAGUAAAGUAAACAGACUGGCUAUGGUCCUAGUACAAGAGGAGGAGAACAAGAUACUCGCAAUCUGUACGACUAGUUACUCUCCAGUCUAAAAGGACUAGGACGAAGCAGACAAAGUGAAGAAGAUUCUCGACGACCGGACCUAGCAGAUAAAAUAAUAGCCGUUGGAUUUGAUACGACAUCAUCCAAUACUGGAGUUCACAAAAGAGCAUGUACUUCUCUUCAGCAGGUCCUCAAUCGACAGAUCCUCUGGAUGGCCUGCAGACAUCACGUCCUGGAGGCGGAGCUUGUAAGAGGAUCUGCCUCCAAGCAACUGUUCGGUGACACAAUAUCACUCGAAGUAACCCUCUUCAAGAUCAUGAAGACCUCCUGGGAAUCGAUCUGCAGAACAUCGUCCUUCCCGAUAUCCCUACGCGCUAAAGGAACGACGUAGGAGAUAUUCUAUCCUUUAUUAAUCACAUCCGUCAACUCAACAACCAGCCCAGAACAUUACAAGGAAUUCCUAGAGCUUGCUAAACUAAUCCAUAGAGAAAGCAUAGAUAUGAAGAAAGGAUACGUCUUCCAGAUACAAAGACCUGGAGCUGACCACCAUGCCAGAUGGAUGGCUAAGUCCAUCUACAUUCUACAUUAUGAAGAUGGCUUUUCUUCACUAGAUACCAAUUCACUGUACGAAGAAGAGAAACGUGCAGAAGAUGGCUCACUUUGUUGUCUUCGUUUAUUUGAGAGCUUGGUUCAGCGCUCCUUUCCUUGAAUCUACAGCCUCCGCCGACACCCGUUUGUUACAGAGUCUUCAAAGGUACAAGAGUGUGGACAUAGUAUCAGCCAUCACCACGGCAGUCCUGAAGAGGCAAACAUGGACCUGACUGAAAAGCUCGUCCCACAAUCCUUGUUUGAUAAAGACCUACCUCUAGAGCGAAGAGCUCUCCUUGCAGCAAGAAUAGGCCAACAAACUCUUUGAGCCUUAUGAACGUAAAAUUAUCUUAAUUGAUAAAAAAUUAUUUGGAUAUGUUUUCCUUUUAUGAACCUCUUUAU